UGCCCUGUAGCCAUGAACCUGUCAUUCCCACUCCACUCAGCCUCCAGCCAGGGCGGGGAACCUGAGUCAGUGUCCAAUCAGGGGGGCUGGGGACCGUGCACACUGUUCAGUCAGGUGUGAAGCUGUCACCCGCAGGUGCUGGGCUUCGUUGCUGUUUCUGGCAGAGUCCUGCUUCUCGCGCCCGCUGCACUGGGUUUGGCGUCUCUGCUGUUCGCUGAGAUCUGCACACUCCAGGAGCCAUAGGGAGGACGCCAGGACAGCCCCGAAGACGAGAAUGCCUCGCUCCUCCUAGGACGGGAGGAAAAUCCCACAAAUCCUGUCUACUCCAAGCAGCCGCGCCCCUCGGGAGACCACCCCAGUUGGAGGGGCCCACUCCAGCCACCG
rnacentral:lncRNA from 1 species